rnacentral:rRNA from 1 species
CCUACGGGUGGCAGCAGUGAGGAAUAUUGGUCAAUGGACGAGAGUCUGAACCAGCCAAGUAGCGUGAAGGAUGACUGCCCUAUGGGUUGUAAACUUCUUUUAUAUUGGAAUAAAAUGUUCCACGUGUGGGAUUUUGUAUGUACCAUAUGAAUAAGGAUCGGCUAAAUCCGUGCACGCAGCCGCGGUUAUACGGAGGAUCCGAGCGUUAUCCGGAUUUAUUGGGUUUAAAGGGAGCGUAGGUGGAUUGUUAAGUCAGUUGUUAAAGUUUGCGGCUCAACCGUAAAAUUGCCGGUUAAACUGGCAGUCUUGAGUACAGUAGAGGUGAGGGGAAUUCGUGGUGUAGCGGUGAAAUGCUUAGAUAUCACGAAGAACUCCGAUUGCGAAGGCAGUUCACUGGACUGCAACUGACACUGAGGCUCGAAAGUGUGGGUAUCAAACAGGAUUAGAUACCCCUGUAGUC